AUCCCAGUCCAUCCCAGUUUAUCCCAGUCCCAUACUGGUCCCAUCCCAGUUCAUCCCAGUCCAUCCCAGUCCCAUCCCAGUCCAUCCCAUUCCACCCCAGUAUGAUCCCAGUCCCAUCCCAUUCCAUCCCAGUCCAUCCCAUUCCAUCCCAGUUCCAUCCCAUUCCAUCCCAGUUCCAUCCCAGUCCCAUCCCAUUCCAUCCCAGUCCAUCCCAGUUCAUCCCAGUUUAUCCCAGUGCCACUCUAUUGCCUUCCCAGUCCAUCCCAGUCCAUCCCAGUCCAUCCCAGUCCAUCCCAGUCCCAUACUGGUCCCAUCCCAUUCCAUCCCAUUCCAUCCCAGUCCCUCCCAUUCCAUCCCAGUCCAUCCCAUUCCAUCCCAGUCCAUCCCAUUCCAUCCCAGUUUGAUCCCAUUCCAUCCCAUUCCAUCCCAGUCCCAUACUGGUCCCAUACUGGUCCCAUACUGGUCCCAUCCCAGUCCCAAUCUCCAUCUCUCUCUUAUUUCUUUCCCAGUUCCUCCCAGUCCCCGUGUCACCCGACUGGCAGCGGCGUCAGACAUGGAGUAUGAACGAAGG
rnacentral:lncRNA from 1 species